rnacentral:lncRNA from 1 species
CCCCGUCUUGACUUGUACACUUGGUACAUGUGGGCAGGGUACAUCCUGCAGGAAGAGAGACCAGGAAGGGUCGUGACUGCUUGCGCACGGCUGCAGGCGUUCUGCCGGGCAAGAACCUCCCGGUGCGCCCGGAGCUGCUCCAAGUUGAGAGUGGCGCAUAACAUGGGGCUGCAGUUGAGGCUUGAAGGGCCAAGGAGUGCCAACUUACCCUGAUUUCUUUGCAAGUUUCAUUAAGCUCUUCAGCAUCUGAGAAAGGAUUAGAAUGUUUAUUCACACUCUCCAAAUUCCAGUUUAUCAGUUCAUUGAUUCAUCAACGUUGAUUAAGCACUUACUAUGUGCUGAGAAUACAAAGGGUUGCAGAAAAGGAAGAAGAAUCAGCAGAGAGCAUUUGUGGCCAGCAAAGCUUAAAAUAUUUCCUAACCGAUCCUUUGCAAAAAAAGUUCACCCACUCCUGUAGUCAGCAGCUCCCCUACUGUGCGCAGUCAGUGUGCCAUCUCAGACUAGCAAAGAUUUGUGCUUGGAUCAUCUACACUUCCCUGAAUGUUGAAGAAGAUAUGCUAUCCAUGCAAUCCUUGUCGACUGCUUGAUUAAAAAGUGGAUAAACUGUCUUCAGGCCCUUGGAGUAUGGUGUCUGUGUGAAGAAGGGAAUGAGGCAGAAGUAGCAGUCAGUGGUGGCUGAAGUAGGAGAAAGUGCUUGCUAAUGAAAUCUUGAUUUUUCUGUGGCUUUUCUGUGCAAUUGGGUGGCUAAGUAGGAAAGCCAUUGGAGCUUCACUGUAUCAAUUCUGCCUUUCUUGUUUUUUGGAACUCCAAUUCACCAAGGCUCCCUGCCACCCUAUCCAUCUAUAACUUUUCAUCACUUUUUCCUCAAAGUAAGAAGUGUGUCCCAGAAAAUGUGCCUUUGUGACUCAGCAACAUUUCAAAUCCAUCUGAGCCUUCCCAGCGUUCCAAAAGAAAUACUGAUUUGAAUUCAGCUGCUUAAAAAACCAGUCUCUAAGCAGACAGCUUGAAACUUCCUUACAGCAAUAGUUUAGGCUUUGGAGGGGAAAUUGGUUUGUUUUUAAUUGUUUUAAUUUUUCAUUCAAUUCAUUUGCCGCCUGAUUAUAUAUGAUCUUUUGAGCCCAAUACUCUGCUAAAUUAACCUUGACUUUCUUUCUCUCUUUCUCUCUCUCUCCUUCUCUCUUUCUUCCUUUCUUUCUUUCUUUUUGACAGAGCCUUGCUCUGUCGCCCAGGCUGGAAUGCAGUGGCACAAUCUCAGCUCACUGUAAACUCCGCCUCCAAAGUUCAAGCAAUUCUCCUGCCUCAGCCUCCUGUGUAGCUGGGAUUACACACGCCAGCCACCAUGCCUGGCUAAUUUUUGUAUUUUUAGUAAAGAUGGAGUUUCACCCUCUUGGCCAAGCUGGUCUCGAACUCCUGACCUCAACCUUGGCCUCUCAAAGUGCUGGGAUUACAAGCAUGAGCCACCAUGCCUGGCCUUACCUUGAUUUUUUUUUUUUGAGACAGAGUCUCACUCUGUUGCUCAGGCUGGAGUGUAGUGGCUCGAUCUUGGCUCACUGCAACCUCCAUCUCCCGGGUUCAAGAGAUUCUCCUGCCUCAGCCUCCCAAGUAGCUGGGACUACAGGUGUGGGCCACCACGCCUAGCUAAUUUUUUAUAUGUUUACUAGAGACAGGGUUUCACCAUGUUGGGCAGGCUGGUCUUGAACUCCUGACCUCAGGUGAUUCACCUGCCUCGGCCUCCCAAAAUGCUGGGAUUACAGGUGUGAGCCACCACACCCGGCCCCUACCUUUGAUUUUUAAGUCAAGAGGGAACAAGUCGAAAUUUCUAUUCAGGUAAACUGUAUACCUUUGGACACUGAAUCACUUUUAGAACCCCAGUAAAAAUCAUGUAUGAAUGACCCACAAUUUCACUCCAACAGGAAGGUGUGUAUAUGUGCACAAAAACAUUAGAUUGUUCACACCGGUGCUAUUCAUAAUAGUCAAAAACUGGAAACAACUCAAACAUCCAUCAACUGUAGAAUGGAUAAAUAAAUCAUGAUAUAUUCAUACCAUGGAACAUAACAGUGACAAUAAAUGAACCACUGCUACACACAACAGAUAUGAAUUUCACAAACAGAAUGCUGAGCAACAGAAGCCAAACACAGAAGGAUACACAUUUAUAAAUCCAUUUGUAUGAAGUUCAUAAACAGACAAAAUUAGUCAGUGGAGAUUAUUCUCAUAGAAGUCUGAAGGGUAGUUGUCUUUAGGGAGGGGGAUAUAGUGACUGAGGUGGGUAUAAGGGGUUUCUGGGGUUUGGUGAUGGUACACCAGCAUAUUCACUCUGAAAACUCAUUGAGCUGUGCAAUAAUGAUUUUUCAAACUUUUAUAUGUGUAUGAUAAUGCUUCAAUAAAGCUUUGCUUAAAAAC